rnacentral:snRNA from 1 species
AAGCAUUGCGAUGGUCCC